CCUACGGGUGGCAGCAGUGGGGAAUAUUGGACAAUGGGCGAAAGCCUGAUCCAGCCAUGCCGCGUGUGUGAAGAAGGCCUUCGGGUUGUAAAGCACUUUCAGUGGGGAAGAAAGCCUUGGGGCUAAUACCCUCGAGGAAGGACAUCACCCACAGAAGAAGCACCGGCUAACUCCGUGCCAGCAGCCGCGGUAAUACGGAGGGUGCGAGCGUUAAUCGGAAUUACUGGGCGUAAAGCGCGCGUAGGCGGUCUGAUAAGCCGGUUGUGAAAGCCCCGGGCUCAACCUGGGAACGGCAUCCGGAACUGUCAGGCUAGAGUGCAGGAGAGGAAGGUAGAAUUCCCGGUGUAGCGGUGAAAUGCGUAGAGAUCGGGAGGAAUACCAGUGGCGAAGGCGGCCUUCUGGACUGACACUGACGCUGAGGUGCGAAAGCGUGGGUAGCAAACAGGAUUAGAUACCCGAGUAGUA
rnacentral:rRNA from 1 species